rnacentral:tRNA from 1 species
GGGGGUGUAGUCUAGUUUGGUCUAGGAUUUCAGCUCGGGGAGCUGACGACGGGAGUUCAAAUCUCCCCGCUCCCA